rnacentral:rRNA from 1 species
CCUACGGGCGGCAGCAGUAGGGAAUUUUCGUCAAUGGGCGCAAGCCUGAACGAGCAAUGCCGCGUGAACGAGGAAGGUCUUCGGAUCGUAAAGUUCUGUUGAAGGGGAAAAAGAGCGGAGAGAGGAAAUGGUCUCCGAUUGAUAUUACCCUUCGAGGAAGUCACGGCUAAAUACGUGCCAGCAGCCGCGGUAAUACGUAGGUGGCGAGGGUUAUCCGGAAUGAGUGGGCGUAAAGGGUGCGUAGGCGGCCUGCUAAGUCUGGAGUGAAAGGUACCGGCUCAACCGGUAGAGGCUCUGGAAACUGGCGGGCUAGAGGGCAGGAGAGGGCGGUGGAACUCCAUGUGUAGCGGUAAAAUGCGUAGAUAUAUGGAAGAACACCAGUGGCGAAGGCGGCCGCCUGGCCUGUUACUGACGCUGAGGCACGAAAGCGUGGGGAGCAAAUAGGAUUAGAUACCCUAGUAGUC